rnacentral:rRNA from 1 species
GACGAACGCUGGCGGCGUGCUUAACACAUGCAAGUCGAACGGUAAGGCCCUUUGGGGUACACGAGUGGCGAACGGGUGAGUAACACGUGGGUGAUCUGCCCUGCACUUCGGGAUAGGCCUGGGAAACUGGGUCUAAUACCGGAUAGGACUCCGGACUGCAUGGUCUGGGGUGGAAAGCUUUUGCGGUGUGGGAUGGGCCCGCGGCCUAUCAGCUUGUUGGUGGGGUGAUGGCCUACCAAGGCGACGACGGGUAGCCGGCCUGAGAGGGUGACCGGCCACACUGGGACUGAGAUACGGCCCAGACUCCUACGGGAGGCAGCAGUGGGGAAUAUUGCACAAUGGGCGCAAGCCUGAUGCAGCGACGCCGCGUGAGGGAUGACGGCCUUCGGGUUGUAAACCUCUUUCAGCAUCGACGAAGCGAAAGUGACGGUAGGUGCAGAAGAAGGACCGGCCAACUACGUGCCAGCCGCCGCGGUAA